rnacentral:tRNA from 1 species
GAGAGAUGGCAGAGUGGUAAUGCAGCGGAUUGCUAAUCCGUGUACCCGAUAGGGUACCGGGGGUUCGAGUCCCCCUCUCUCC